rnacentral:rRNA from 1 species
UUGGAGGGCAAGUCUGGUGCCAGCAGCCGCGGUAAUUCCAGCUCCAAUAGCGUAUAUUAAAGUUGUUGCAGUUAGAAAGCUCGUAGUUGAAUUUCGGGAUCAAUAUGUCGGUCGUGCCUUCGGUACGUACUGGCAUCAUUGGUUUCUCCCUUCUGACAAACCAUGAUGUCAUUAAUUUGGUGUUAUGGGGAGUUAGGACUGUUACUUUGAAAAAAUUAGAGUGUUUAAAGCAGGCAUUAGCUUGAAUACAUUAGCAUGGAAUAAUGAAAUAGGACGUUUGACCCUAUUUUGUUGGUUUCUAGGAUCGACGUAAUGAUUAAUAGGGAUAGUUGGGGGCAUUAGUAUUCAAUUGUCAGAGGUGAAAUUCUUGGAUUUAUUGAAGACUAACUACUGCGAAAGCAUUUGCCAGGGAUGUUUUCAUUAAUCAAGAACGAAAGUUAGGGGAUCGAAGACGAUCAGAUACCGUCGUAGUCUUAACCAUAAACUAUGCCGACUAGGGAUCGGAUGAUGUUAAUUUUUUAAUGACUCAUUCGGCGCCUUACGGGAAAC